UUUUUAACAUAUUAAAAUGACACUAACAAGACUAAUCCAGUUUUUGAAUUUUCAGCGAAGCCUUGCGCUACCUUAUCAGUAAGGCCGCCUCGUGAAGGUUCAACCUCUCGAAAGUGCCCAUGAGCGUUGGUACUUAGACGCACGAACUGAACCUCGGAUGCACCAGGUCCAUACGCCACACUCGCCAGUUACGCGUGAGGUUACUAGAGUAGACUGAAGUGAAGGUCACAUGCGAUUUGCGGCCCGCAGCUCGCAGGAAGCCGCAAUCGUAAUCACUUGAGACAUGCCGUUGUUUACUAUUCGCACCUCACGUCCGCGAUUCUGUUUACUACACAGGAUCCUUGCUCGCCGGUGGAUACUUCUUCAAUGCACCCAAAUGCGACAUCACAGUUAGGGUAUUCUAUUACACUGUAUGAGAGGCGGUCAAAAGAUAGAUCUGAUAGUGAUAGCGAUCCACCUAGAGCCGGUUAUAAAAAUCGCACAACUCCCACUCGACGCAAAACCAAACCAAUAUCUUGGGAUCACUCUAUGACGCACGCGUAAAUCAAUCGGUGCACCGACUCACGCGAUUCCCGCGAUUCCCGUGAUUCAAAUGGCAUGCACGAUAACACUGGAUCCCGCCAAUGGCGUCUGGGGUUAGAUGGAUUUAGAUAGCCGGUACAGAUAGAUAUCAUCACGUAACACUCCCACGAUAGUCGGUGCCCUUGAUAUCUGUCGACUUGUCUGAUUCAGCGGGAGCGGCAUAUAAAUCGUAAUAAUCGUGUCUGCGAGUAAGUCCAUGCGGAAGGUACUACAAACGAAAGGACCAACAAGUCUUUCUGGCAUGAUACACAAAUCAGACGUGUUGCUAAUUUAAUUAAGAGAAGCAAUCCAUGAAAAAUAAAUUUUUCCAACGUUCUCUUGUUGCUUAUAACAACGAGCGUUAAAGAGCACUAGUUGAUCUUUCAACGAUCAGGAUCGCAGCUUCUAGGAUACCGGCUUCCUGCAGUUCAAGUUUCCGAUUCUCAAGGAGGAAUUCACAGUGCAGUUUGCUUUUUUAUCUUUG